rnacentral:rRNA from 1 species
ACAAUGGAGAGUUUGAUCCUGGCUCAGGAUGAACGCUAGCGGCAGGCCUAAUACAUGCAAGUCGAGCGGCAAGUCGAGGAGUAAUCUAAGACCUAGAGCGGCG